rnacentral:rRNA from 1 species
GUGAGGAAUAUUGGUCAAUGGGCGCAAGCCUGAACCAGCCAUGCCGCGUGCAGGAAGACGGUCCUAUGGAUUGUAAACUGCUUUUAUUUGGGAAUAAACUCCGGUACGUGUACCGGCCUGAAGGUACCAAAUGAAUAAGCACCGGCUAACUCCGUGCCAGCAGCCGCGGUAAUACGGAGGGUGCAAGCGUUAUCCGGAACAAUUGGGUUUAAAGGGUCCGCAGGCGGUCUUAUAAGUCAGUGGUGAAAGCCUACAGCUCAACUGUAGAACUGCCAUUGAUACUGUAGGACUUGAAUUCGAUCGAAGUGGGCGGAAUGUGACAUGUAGCGGUGAAAUGCUUAGAUAUGUCACAGAACACCGAUAGCGAAGGCAGCUCACUAGGUCUGGAUUGACGCUCAGGGACGAAAGCGUGGGGAGCAAACAGGAUUAGAAACCCGAGUAGUCC